rnacentral:sRNA from 1 species
UAGAGGUGGGGGAGAUAGGAACGGAGCCAAGGCGGCAGAGGCUGGAGGUGGGAAGGAAACCAGCU